UACCUCGGUUGAUCCCUGCCAGUAGUCAUAUGCUUGUCUCAAAGAUUAAGCCAUGCAUGUGUAAGUAUGAACGAAUUCAGACUGUGAAACUGCGAAUGGCUCAUUAAAUCAGCUUAUAGUUUGCUUUGAUGGUAACUACUACCGGAUAACCGUAGGGGUAAUUCUAGAGCCUACUACGUGCAACAAACCCCCGACUUCUAUGGAAGGGACGCGCAUUUAUUAGGAUAAAAAGCAUCGACGCGGGCUCUGCCCGUUGCUCUGAUGAUUCAUGAUAACUCCGACGUGAUCGCAUGGCCUCGCGUGCUGGCGACGCAUCAUUCAAACCUCUGCCCUAUCAACUUUCGGGAUGGUAGGAUAGUGGCCUACCAUGGUGGGUAACGAAGUGACGGCAGAAUUCAUUAGGGUUCGAUUCCGAGAGAGGGAGCCCUGAGAAACGGCUACCACAUCCAAGGCGAAAGGCAGCAGGCGCGCAAAUUACCCAAUCCUGACACGGGAGGUAGUGACAAUAAAUAACAAUACUCGGGCCUCUUUCGAGUCUGGUAACUGGAAUGAGUACAAUCUAAGUAAAUCCCUUAACGAGGAUCCAUUGGAGGGCAAGUCCUGGUGCCAGCAGCCGCGGUAAUUCCAGCUCCAAUAGCGUAUAUUUAAGCUAAAUGAAGCUAAGUGCUCGUAGUGAAGCUGGGAAACUUUGGCUGGUCGGUCGGUCCGGCCUUUGGUGUGCAUUGGUCGGCUUGUCCCUUCUGGUCAAGGGCGAUAGCGCUCCCUCGGUCUUAAUUGGCCGGGUCGUGCCUCCCGGCGCUGUGAGCUACUUUUGAAGAAAUUCGAGUGCUCAAAGCAAGCCUAGUGCUCUGAGCCAUACAUUAGCAUGGGGAUAAACAUCAUAGGAUUUCGAUCCCUGAUUGUGUUGGCCUUCGGGAUCGGAGUAAUGAUUAACAGGGACAGUCGGGGGCAUUCGUAUUUCAUAGUCAGAGGUGGAAAUUUUGGAUUUAUGAAAGACCGAACAACUACGAAAGCAUUUGCCAAGGAUGUUUUCAUUAAUCAAUAAAUUGAAAAAGUUGGGGGCCUCGAAGAAGACGAUCAGAUACCGUCCUAGUCUCAAACCAUAAACGAUGCCGACCUGGUGAGAUCAGCGGAUGUUGCUUAUAGGACUCGCUGGCACCUUAUGAGAAAUCAAAGUUUUUGGGUUCCGGGGGAGUAUGGGCUCUAGCAAGGCUGGAAACUUAAAGGAAUUGACGGAAGGGCACCAACUAGGAGUGGAGCCUGGGAAGGCUUAAUUUAACGACUCAACACGGGGAAACUUACCAGUGUCCAGACAUAGUAAGGAUUGAGCCGCAUCUGAGAGCUCUUUCUCUUGAUUCUAUGGGUGGUGGUACGCAUGGCCGUUCUUAGUUGGUGGAGCGAUUUGUCUUGGUUAAUUCCCGUUAACGAACGGAGACCUCAGCUCUGCUAACUCAGCUAAUGCGUGGAGGGGCAUCCCUUCACGGCCGGCUUCUUAGGAGGGACUAUGGCCAGGCUUUCAGGCCAAGGAAGUUUGAGGCAAUAACAGGUCUGUGAUGCCCUUUAGAUGUUCUGGGCUCGCACGCGCUGCCUACACCGAUGUAUUCAAUCGAGUUCACACCUUGGCCUGACAGUGCCCGGGUAAUCUCUUGAAAUUUCAUCGUGAUGGGGAUAGAUCAUUGCAAUUGUUGGUCUUCAACGAGGAAUUUGUAAGCAGCGAGUCAUCAGCUCGCGUUGACUACGUCCCUGCCCCUUUGCACCACACACCGCCCUGGUCGCUUCCUACCGGGAUUGAAUGAUCCGGUGAAGUAGCUCCGGAUCAGCGGCGACGUGGUUCGCCCGCCCGCGACGUCGCGAGAAGUCCACUUCAAAUCCUAUCAUUUAGGAGGAAGGAGAAGUCGUACCGCUUUCGUAGGUGAAUCCUCGUGCGGAAGGAUCACGUUG
rnacentral:rRNA from 1 species